rnacentral:rRNA from 1 species
CACGUAGGGCGCAAGCGUUGUCCGGAAUUAUUGGGCGUAAAGAGCUCGUAGGCGGUCUGUUGCGUCCGCUGUGAAAACCCGGGGCUUAACCCCUGGCUUGCAGUGGAUACGGACAGACUAGAGGCAGGGUAGGGGAGAAUGGAAUUCCCGGUGUAGCGGUGAAAUGCGCAGAUAUCGGGAGGAACACCGGUGGCGAGGCGGUUCUCUGGGCCUGACCUGACGCUGAGGAGCGAAAGCGUGGGGAGCGAACAGG